ensembl:lncRNA
CAUAUUGAAUUUAAUGAUAUUUUAUUCAUGCACUUAAUCCAUUGUGUGCUUUUGUGUCUAAACAGGCUUCUUACCGAAUGCUUUGUUGAAGCUGGAAGGCAGGAUGAGGCCAGAAAUUUUGCCAGGCUAGGCUCUGACUUCAUACAGACCCACCAACCUGACCUGCUUCCCUAUAUGUUUUCGUUGCGGGUGCAGCACAACCUAAUCAGUACCAGUGAAGGGAAGGCACUAAUGAAAGGCAACCCCGUGCUGAUGGCCAUUUGCGAAAUUCAAAAACUUAAACAAAGCUUGAGAUUGUCUGGAGUCAGAAAGGAGGACCAGGAAAAGCUGACGGACGUCUGUGCACUGCUGGCUUUAAACAAAUCCGCCGAGUCUUCCUUUAUGAGCUCAGGACCUCGGCUGAUAGAACAGACUCCAGUCAUCUCUCCAGCAUACAGGAUCGAAUUGCUUUUGGAGCUGGCGUUUGUGUCUGUGCAGCUGAAGGAGCCGGAGACGGC